rnacentral:rRNA from 1 species
GACGUAGGGCGCGAGCGUUGUCCGGAUUUAUUGGGCGUAAAGAGCUCGUAGGCGGCUUGUCGCGUCAACUGUGAAAACCCGUGGCUCAACCAUGUGGUCUGCAGUCGAUACGGGCAGGCUAGAAUUCGGUAGGGGAGACUGGAAUUCCUGGUGUAGCGGUGAAAUGCGCAGAUAUCAGGAGGAACACCGGUGGCGAAGGCGGGUCUCUGGGCCGAUAUUGACGCUGAGGAGCGAAAGCUAGGGGAGCAAACGGG